rnacentral:misc_RNA from 1 species
AUUGUGAGCACAACUUAGAUUUCAGCAUCCCUCGCUUCAAAACAGUGCAGAUAUCUGGAACCCGAUAUCUAGACGCAAGAGAACUAUUCAAAUGGGGAAUGUUAGCUGGAGUCCGAGUUACAAAAUUUGAUUGUGAAAUUACAAGGUUUUUGAGAAAUCGAGUCCUCCAGGAAGUCAGAAGACUAUUAUUUCGCCUAAAACCAGUCAACAUAUAAAUCAU